GUGAUGUAUGGAGACCUCGCCUGAACUAUGAAGAUUUUGCCGAGUGCUGA
rnacentral:snoRNA from 1 species